CCAUGCCCUUUGUCAUAUCAAUCAAGAUGUCAAUGAGUCCCAGAUUUAGAAUACACAAAGUCGAUAGUUGCAGCAAAUCAACCUAUCCUUCUAAAUUAACAAAUUCAUUUCAUCCAAAUAGAAAGAAAUCAGAUUCAUUCUAGAGUUGAGGAUAGCAAAAUUUGGGCGUUUCUAUAAAUCUGAUCACGAUUUUGGUACACAAAAUCAUUUCCCAAAAC
rnacentral:lncRNA from 1 species